rnacentral:rRNA from 1 species
GGUUAAGCGACUAAGCGUACACGGUGGAUGCCCUGGCAGUCAGAGGCGAUGAAGGACGUGCUAAUCUGCGAUAAGCGCCGGUAAGGUGAUAUGAACCGUUAUAACCGGCGAUUUCCGAAUGGGGAAACCCAGUGUGAUUCGUCACACUAUCAUUAACUGAAUCCAUAGGUUAAUGAGGCGAACCGGGGGAACUGAAACAUCUAAGUACCCCGAGGAAAAGAAAUCAACCGAGAUUCCCCCAGUAGCGGCGAGCGAACGGGGAGGAGCCCAGAGCCUGAAUCAGCAUGUGUGUUAGUGGAAGCGUCUGGAAAGGCGCGCGAUACAGGGUGACAGCCCCGUACACAAAAGCGCAUAUGCUGUGAGCUCGAUGAGUAGGGCGGGACACGUGGUAUCCUGUCUGAAUAUGGGGGGACCAUCCUCCAAGGCUAAAUACUCCUGACUGACCGAUAGUGAACCAGUACCGUGAGGGAAAGGCGAAAAGAACCCCGGCGAGGGGAGUGAAAAAGAACCUGAAACCGUGUACGUACAAGCAGUGGGAGCACAGGUUUACCUGUGUGACUGCGUACCUUUUGUAUAAUGGGUCAGCGACUUAUAUUCUGUAGCAAGGUUAACCGAAUAGGGGAGCCGUAGGGAAACCGAGUCUUAACCGGGCGUUAAGUUGCAGGGUAUAGACCCGAAACCCGGUGAUCUAGCCAUGGGCAGGUUGAAGGUUGGGUAACACUAACUGGAGGACCGAACCGACUAAUGUUGAAAAAUUAGCGGAUGACCUGUGGCUGGGGGUGAAAGGCCAAUCAAACCGGGAGAUAGCUGGUUCUCCCCGAAAGCUAUUUAGGUAGCGCCUCGUGAAUUCAUCUCCGGGGGUAGAGCACUGUUUCGGCUAGGGGGCCAUCCCGGCUUACCAACCCGAUGCAAACUGCGAAUACCGGAGAAUGUUAUCACGGGAGACACACGGCGGGUGCUAACGUCCGUCGUGAAGAGGGAAACAACCCAGACCGCCAGCUAAGGUCCCAAAGUCAUGGUUAAGUGGGAAACGAUGUGGGAAGGCCCAGACAGCCAGGAUGUUGGCUUAGAAGCAGCCAUCAUUUAAAGAAAGCGUAAUAGCUCACUGGUCGAGUCGGCCUGCGCGGAAGAUGUAACGGGGCUAAACCAUGCACCGAAGCUGCGGCAGCGACACUGUGUGUUGUUGGGUAGGGGAGCGUUCUGUAAGCCUGCGAAGGUGGCCUGUGAGGGUUGCUGGAGGUAUCAGAAGUGCGAAUGCUGACAUAAGUAACGAUAAAGCGGGUGAAAAGCCCGCUCGCCGGAAGACCAAGGGUUCCUGUCCAACGUUAAUCGGGGCAGGGUGAGUCGACCCCUAAGGCGAGGCCGAAAGGCGUAGUCGAUGGGAAACGGGUUAAUAUUCCCGUACUUGGUGUUACUGCGAAGGGGGGACGGAGAAGGCUAUGUUGGCCGGGCGACGGUUGUCCCGGUUUAAGCGUGUAGGUGUGUGUUCCAGGUAAAUCCGGUUCACUUUAACACUGAGGCGUGACGACGAGGCACUACGGUGCUGAAGCAACAAAUGCCCUGCUUCCAGGAAAAGCCUCUAAGCAUCAGGUAACAUCAAAUCGUACCCCAAACCGACACAGGUGGUCAGGUAGAGAAUACCAAGGCGCUUGAGAGAACUCGGGUGAAGGAACUAGGCAAAAUGGUGCCGUAACUUCGGGAGAAGGCACGCUGACACGUAGGUGAAGUGAUUUACUCAUGGAGCUGAAGUCAGUCGAAGAUACCAGCUGGCUGCAACUGUUUAUUAAAAACACAGCACUGUGCAAACACGAAAGUGGACGUAUACGGUGUGACGCCUGCCCGGUGCCGGAAGGUUAAUUGAUGGGGUCAGCGCAAGCGAAGCUCCUGAUCGAAGCCCCGGUAAACGGCGGCCGUAACUAUAACGGUCCUAAGGUAGCGAAAUUCCUUGUCGGGUAAGUUCCGACCUGCACGAAUGGCGUAAUGAUGGCCAGGCUGUCUCCACCCGAGACUCAGUGAAAUUGAACUCGCUGUGAAGAUGCAGUGUACCCGCGGCAAGACGGAAAGACCCCGUGAACCUUUACUAUAGCUUGACACUGAACAUUGAGCCUUGAUGUGUAGGAUAGGUGGGAGGCUUUGAAGUGUGGACGCCAGUCUGCAUGGAGCCGACCUUGAAAUACCACCCUUUAAUGUUUGAUGUUCUAACGUGGACCCGUAAUCCGGGUUGCGGACAGUGUCUGGUGGGUAGUUUGACUGGGGCGGUCUCCUCCUAAAGAGUAACGGAGGAGCACGAAGGUUGGCUAAUCCUGGUCGGACAUCAGGAGGUUAGUGCAAUGGCAUAAGCCAGCUUGACUGCGAGCGUGACGGCGCGAGCAGGUGCGAAAGCAGGUCAUAGUGAUCCGGUGGUUCUGAAUGGAAGGGCCAUCGCUCAACGGAUAAAAGGUACUCCGGGGAUAACAGGCUGAUACCGCCCAAGAGUUCAUAUCGACGGCGGUGUUUGGCACCUCGAUGUCGGCUCAUCACAUCCUGGGGCUGAAGUAGGUCCCAAGGGUAUGGCUGUUCGCCAUUUAAAGUGGUACGCGAGCUGGGUUUAGAACGUCGUGAGACAGUUCGGUCCCUAUCUGCCGUGGGCGCUGGAGAACUGAGGGGGGCUGCUCCUAGUACGAGAGGACCGGAGUGGACGCAUCACUGGUGUUCGGGUUGUCAUGCCAAUGGCACUGCCCGGUAGCUAAAUGCGGAAGAGAUAAGUGCUGAAAGCAUCUAAGCACGAAACUUGCCCCGAGAUGAGUUCUCCCUGAGACUUAGAGUCUCCUGAAGGAACGUUGAAGACGACGACGUUGAUAGGCCGGGUGUGUAAGCGCAGCGAUGCGUUGAGCUAACCGGUACUAAUGAACCGUGAGGCUUAACCUU